rnacentral:lncRNA from 1 species
CGACCUUCCCUCUUAUCUUCCUCUUGCAUUUAUCAGAAGUGCUGAACCCUUGACGUGCCUUAUCUUAUUUGCUCCUCACAACAAAUCUUAUGAGAUGCAUCACUACCAGAAGUUGUCCAGAAAGAACUGUGACCGUAUGUUUUAAUUAAAUAAUUUUUCAUCCAGUUUUUUUCUUUGCAUAUAAAGAAACAGAAUCCUGACAUCUGAUUGAAUUAUUGGCUCUCCUGAUGGUUGCACGAUGGCUGCAGCAGUUCCAGAUGUCCCAUCGAGACACAAAAAGAUCCCAGAUGGAAGAUGCCAUCUCCUCCUAUGUGCCUCUUUUUAAGAGUUACACAGGAGUGAGGAGGACCACCAAACCAAACUAAGACUCGGAGGAAAAAAAAAAAAGAAAAAGAAGAAAAUGUCUGCUAGGUGCCAUGCCACUCAAACAGCCAAUGGAAAGGCCCACGUGGCGAGAGCUAAGGCUUCCUGCCAACAGGCAAGUGAGGAAGCCCAGUCAGCUGCCUGCAGUCCUGACCCAUGAAGAGCCUGACUGAAAGUGAAUGAGCAACCCUGAGCUAGGACAACCCAGCAAGGCCCAUCCUGAAUUCCUGCCCACAAAAACUCUGAGACAGUAAAUGUUCGUUGUUUUAAACCACAAAGUUUUGAAGUAAUAGAUUAAUUAGGUAACCAAUUGGGACUGCAGUAUUCCUUCAGGGAACUUGAAUAGUCAUUCUGUAUAUGGAAAUUGUACACAUCUUAAAAUUGCUGGACUAAAGUGAGAAGAGACUGUCUUGAGUCAACUGGAUAAAGUGGAAAAAAAAUUAAUUUGGAAAUCAAUAGAAUUCUGGCCUUGGCUUUGUCACUAAGAAACACUUAUAAGUAAUUUCACUUCUCUUGAAAUUAUGAUCAUUAUCUAUAACAUAAAGGAACUGAGCUAAAUGUUAUCUGAUGCCUCUUUAGGCUCUCAAACUCCAUAGAUUUAUGACAUGCUUGAAAUUCACUUUGUUUCACCCUAAUUCAGAGCUUUGUUUCACUAGCUCUAGAAUUAGAUGCCUUGGGUUUAAAUUGCAAUUCAGUCACUUAUUUAAAUAAUUGUACUUGGAUGAGUGAUGUUGCCAUUUUAAGCCUCAGUUUCCCCAUAGAUUCAUUGAGAAGAUCAAAUAAGAUGAUGCAGAUAAAGCUCUUAGUUUGUGGGGACACUUAGUAAGUGCUUAAUAAAUACAGGCAGUUGUGUUAUCUAUGUUGUAGCAGCACAUUUUGUAAAAUAAAACAAAGUUGAAAUCACAGAUCUAUAUUUUUAUGUA